GAGGGUACAGCUCAGUGGUACAGCGUGUGCUUGGUGUGCAUGAGGUCCUGGGUUCAAUCCCCAGUGCCUCCA
rnacentral:tRNA from 1 species